UGGGGAAUUUUGGACAAUGGGCGAAAGCCUGAUCCAGCAAUGCCGCGUGUGUGAAGAAGGCCUUCGGGUUGUAAAGCACUUUUGUCCGGAAAGAAAUCCUUGGCUCUAAUACAGUCGGGGGAUGACGGUACCGGAAGAAUAAGCACCGGCUAACUACGUGCCAGCAGCCGCGGUAAUACGUAGGGUGCAAGCGUUAAUCGGAAUUACUGGGCGUAAAGCGUGCGCAGGCGGUUUGCUAAGACCGAUGUGAAAUCCCCGGGCUCAACCUGGGAACUGCAUUGGUGACUGGCAGGCUAGAGUAUGGCAGAGGGGGGUAGAAUUCCACGUNUAGCAGUGAAAAUGCGUAGAGAUGUGGAGGAAUACCGAUGGCGAAGGCAGCCCCCUGGGCAAUACUGACGCUCAUGCACGAAAGCGUGGGGAGCAAACAGGAUUAGAUACCCUGGUAGUCCACGCCCUAAAACGAUGUCAACUAGUUGUUGGGGAUUCAUUUCCUUAGUAACGUAGCUAACGCGUGAAGUUGACCGCCUGGGGAGUAC
rnacentral:rRNA from 1 species